UUUUCAGUCUUUGUGCGAAUCUGUCUACAAUAGAAGUCAAUGACAAAUAUUAUAGGAACUGAUUGACACAGUUGUAUCAAACAUUAUAAAGUGAAUAACCUGACGAUUUGAUCUGAUUAAACAAUUUUUGAAAAUAAAAAACAAA